rnacentral:lncRNA from 1 species
CUUUUUCAGAGGUCGUGCCGGUGCUUCUUUGAAGGCGACCACAAAUGCACAGAGUAUGCAGGAAAAUGUGCACAGUCAUUUAUUUUAUGGUCAGGUAAAUUUACCCUUUGGAACUUUAUGGUAUAAAUAUAGAACAACACAUUUUCCAACCAUGUCUUCUCUUGAACCCUUGAGGCUGUAAUCACAGCACUCCUAAAAUGUGAUCUCUUUUCAUGUUGACUGCACCCCUGGUUUCCUCACACUGUUUCCAGUGGUGGAGCAAGAAGAGUGAUCCCAUUUAGGCAAGGAAUCCCUGACCCUUAUCUGGCUCAGCUUAACCUGGGAGGGCACAGUCAUCACAUCAGCUGGAGGAAAGAAUGAACAUGGAUUGGAAGAGCCUGCUGGUGUUGCAGAACAACAAUCCGGAAAGCCCUUGGAGGAGGGAGGAGACUGUCAUUCACCAGCAAACCCCUGCCCCCUCACUUUUUCUUUUUUGUAAUUGGAAGUUCAGGUUGAACUGCUCUGUAGUUAUUCACCCACUUCUGCUGGUCAAAGGCCCAUGAGGAUUUAAAUGACUAAAUAGGCCAUAAAAUGCCAACCUUUUAGACGUCUAAAAAGUGUCUGCUGGAUCAAACAGUCAUCACGAACCACCCUUAGAUUCCUCUGCCACUCACUCUGCUCCCUGUGUCUGGGACACCCUGAGUCCACAGUGACUCUUUGCCAAAGUAUAAAGAAACCACCAUGUACCUUUUCAAAAAUGUCCACUUGUCCUUAAAGUCAUGAAUAAAGGAAGAGAUGGCUUCCAGAUAUGCAACUGGACUUCUGACAGCCAUCAUCCUCUAAAAUUUCCCUGUGUUUUGACUGAAGUUAUCCACCCACUUCUGCUGGUUCCUGGCUCACAUAAACAUUGAGCAAGUAACUUUCCAUUAGACCCAGAGGAUAGACUAGGAUAGAGUUCCGAGUGUCUGAAAAUUCCUGGUCCCCAACAAAACUGUGUUCUGCUCAAUAAUUUAUUUCGUAAGAAGUUAUAAUAAGUCUAGUCAUUAAAUCAAAAGAGAAAAACCUUAAUGAAGUAUAAUAUUGCUUGGUACUUGUUUUUGUCAGUUCCAUUUCUUCAUUAACUUUUUGAUUGGGAAAAUAAAGAUAAUUACACAAAUCUAUUCUCAAAUUUAGCCAUGGAUGAUUUGAUUUCUCUUUCUGUCUCUUCUGUGCCUGUGCAUACACACACACACACACACACACACACACACUCAGAGAACAGAGUUGUCUCUUUCUCUCUCUAUAUAUAUACAGAG